rnacentral:rRNA from 1 species
GAGUUUGAUCUUGGCUCAGGACGAACGCUGGCGGCGUGCUUAACACAUGCAAGUCGAACGGAGUGCCCAUGAUUGAGGUUUCGGCCAAAUGAUUGGGUUACUUAGUGGCGGACUGGUGAGUAACGCGUGAGGAACCUGCCUUUCAGAGGGGGACAACAGUUGGAAACGACUGCUAAUACCGCAUGACACAUCGAAGGGGCAUCCCUUUGAUGUCAAAGAUUUAUCGCUGAAAGAUGGCCUCGCGUCCGAUUAGAUAGUUGGCGGGGUAACGGCCCACCAAGUCGACGAUCGGUAGCCGGACUGAGAGGUUGACCGGCCACAUUGGGACUGAGAUACGGCCCAGACUCCUACGGGAGCAGCAGU